rnacentral:lncRNA from 1 species
UUGACAUCUCUGGCAGAAGUGACUCUUCUGGCGAACACAUCUUCUCUGGCAAGGGCGUCUCCUCUGGCGGUAGUGGCUUCUCUGGCACGGAUAUAUUUUCUCUGAUGGCAACGACUUCUCUGGUAUUGACGACUUUUCUGACGAUGACGACUUCUCUGAUGGCAUUGACUUCUCUGGCGAGUGUGUCUCUUCUACCAUAUUUGACCUGCCAGUGGGGUUGAUUCCUCUGAUUUGUAUUCUUCCCCUACUCUGCACAUAUUA